rnacentral:rRNA from 1 species
GACGAACGCUGGCGGCGUGCUUAACACAUGCAAGUCGUACGGUAAGGCCCUUUCGGGGGUACACGAGUGGCGAACGGGUGAGUAACACGUGAGUAACCUGCCCACAACUUUGGGAUAACGCUAGGAAACUGGUGCUAAUACUGGAUAUGUGCCCCUGCUGCAUGGGGGGGGUUGGAAAGCUCCGGCGGUUGUGGAUGGACUCGCGGCCUAUCAGCUUGUUGGUGGGGUAGUGGGCUACCAAGGCGGCGACGGGUAGCCGGCCUGAGAGGGUGACCGGCCACAUUGGGACUGAGAUACGGCCCAGACUCCUACGGGAGGCAGCAGUGGGGAAUAUUGCACAAUGGGCGCAAGCCUGAUGCAGCAACGCCGCGUGCGGGAUGACGGCCUUCGGGUUGUAAACCGCUUUCAGCAGGGACGAAGCUUUUUGUGACGGUACCUGCAGAAGAAGCACCGGCUAACUACGUG